rnacentral:rRNA from 1 species
UACGGAGGGGACUAGCGUUGUUCGGAAUUACUGGGCGUAAAGCGCACGUAGGCGGAUUUGUAAGUCAGGGGUGAAAUCCUGGAGCUCAACUCCAGAACUGCCCUUGAUACUGGCGGUCUCGAGUCCGGGAGAGGGAUGCGGAAUUCCAGGUGUAGCGGUGAAAUGCGUAGAUAUCUGGAGGAAUACCGGUGGCGAAGGCGGCAUCCUGGACCAUUACUGACGCUGAGGCGCGAAAGCUAGGGGAGCAAACGGGG